rnacentral:rRNA from 1 species
CCUACGGGAGGCAGCAGUGAGGAAUAUUGGUCAAUGGGCUUACGCCUGAACCAGCCAAGUCGCGUGAGGGAAGACUGCCCUAUGGGUUGUAAACCUCUUUUGUCAGGGAGCAACGCCGGCUACGUGUAGCCGGACUGAGAGUACCUGAAGAAAAAGCAUCGGCUAACUCCGUGCCAGCAGCCGCGGUCAUACGGAGGAUGCGAGCGUUAUCCGGAUUGAUUGGGUUUAAAGGGUGCGUAGGCGGAAUGCCAAGUCAGCGGUAAAAUCGAGGGGCUCAACCUCGCUCCGCCGUUGAAACUGGCGUUCUUGAGUGGGCGAGAAGUAUGCGGAAUGCGUGGUGUAGCGGUGAAAUGCAUAGAUAUCACGCAGAACUCCGAUUGCGAAGGCAGCAUACCGGCGCCCAACUGACGCUGAAGCACGAAAGCGUGGGUAUCGAACAGGAUUAGAUACCCUUGUAGUC